rnacentral:rRNA from 2 species
GGGUUGUGAGGUUAAGCGACUAAGCGUACACGGUGGAUGCCCUGGCAGUCAGAGGCGAUGAAGGACGUGCUAAUCUGCGAAAAGCGUCGGUAAGGUGAUAUGAACCGUUAUAGCCGGCGAUGUCCGAAUGGGGAAACCCAGUGCAAUUCGUUGCACUAUCGUUAACUGAAUACAUAGGUUAACGAGGCGAACCGGGGGAACUGAAACAUCUAAGUACCCCGAGGAAAAGAAAUCAACCGAGAUUCCCCCAGUAGCGGCGAGCGAACGGGGAGCAGCCCAGAGUCUGAAUCAGCUUGUGUGUUAGUGGAACGGUCUGGAAAGUCCGACGGUACAGGGUGAUAGUCCCGUACACCAAAAUGCACAGGCUGUGAACUCGAAGAGUAGGGCGGGACACGUGGUAUCCUGUCUGAAUAUGGGGGGACCAUCCUCCAAGGCUAAAUACUCCUGACUGACCGAUAGUGAACCAGUACCGUGAGGGAAAGGCGAAAAGAACCCCGGCGAGGGGAGUGAAAAAGAACCUGAAACCGUGUACGUACAAGCAGUGGGAGCACCUUCGGGUGUGACUGCGUACCUUUUGUAUAAUGGGUCAGCGACUUAUAUUCUGUAGCAAGGUUAACCGUAUAGGGGAGCCGCAGGGAAACCGAGUCUUAACUGGGCGUUAAGUUGCAGGGUAUAGACCCGAAACCCGGUGAUCUAGCCAUGGGCAGGUUGAAGGUUGGGUAACACUAACUGGAGGACCGAACCGACUAAUGUUGAAAAAUUAGCGGAUGACUUGUGGCUGGGGGUGAAAGGCCAAUCAAACCGGGAGAUAGCUGGUUCUCCCCGAAAGCUAUUUAGGUAGCGCCUCGUGAACUCAUCUUCGGGGGUAGAGCACUGUUUCGGCUAGGGGGUCAUCCCGACUUACCAACCCGAUGCAAACUACGAAUACCGAAGAAUGUUAUCACGGGAGACACACGGCGGGUGCUAACGUCCGUCGUGAAGAGGGAAACAACCCAGACCGCCAGCUAAGGUCCCAAAGUCAUGGUUAAGUGGGAAACGAUGUGGGAAGGCACAGACAGCCAGGAUGUUGGCUUAGAAGCAGCCAUCAUUUAAAGAAAGCGUAAUAGCUCACUGGUCGAGUCGGCCUGCGCGGAAGAUGUAACGGGGCUAAACCAUGCACCGAAGCUGCGGCAGCGACACUAUGUGUUGUUGGGUAGGGGAGCGUUCUGUAAGCCUGCGAAGGUGUGCUGUGAGGCAUGCUGGAGGUAUCAGAAGUGCGAAUGCUGACAUAAGUAACGAUAAAGCGGGUGAAAAGCCCGCUCGCCGGAAGACCAAGGGUUCCUGUCCAACGUUAAUCGGGGCAGGGUGAGUCGACCCCUAAGGCGAGGCCGAAAGGCGUAGUCGAUGGGAAACAGGUUAAUAUUCCUGUACUUGGUGUUACUGCGAAGGGGGGACGGAGAAGGCUAUGUUAGCCGGGCGACGGUUGUCCCGGUUUAAGCAUGUAGGCUGGUUGUCCAGGCAAAUCCGGAUAAUCAAGGCUGAGGUGUGAUGACGAGGCACUACGGUGCUGAAGUAACAAAUGCCCUGCUUCCAGGAAAAGCCUCUAAGCAUCAGGUAACAUCAAAUCGUACCCCAAACCGACACAGGUGGUCAGGUAGAGAAUACCAAGGCGCUUGAGAGAACUCGGGUGAAGGAACUAGGCAAAAUGGUGCCGUAACUUCGGGAGAAGGCACGCUGGUGUGUAGGUGAAGCCCCUGCGGGUGGAGCUGAGACCAGUCGAAGAUACCAGCUGGCUGCAACUGUUUAUUAAAAACACAGCACUGUGCAAACACGAAAGUGGACGUAUACGGUGUGACGCCUGCCCGGUGCCGGAAGGUUAAUUGAUGGGGUUAUCCGUAAGGAGAAGCUCUUGAUCGAAGCCCCGGUAAACGGCGGCCGUAACUAUAACGGUCCUAAGGUAGCGAAAUUCCUUGUCGGGUAAGUUCCGACCUGCACGAAUGGCGUAAUGAUGGCCAGGCUGUCUCCACCCGAGACUCAGUGAAAUUGAACUCGCUGUGAAGAUGCAGUGUACCCGCGGCAAGACGGAAAGACCCCGUGAACCUUUACUAUAGCUUGACACUGAACAUUGAGCCUUGAUGUGUAGGAUAGGUGGGAGGCUUUGAAGCGUGGACGCCAGUCUGCGUGGAGCCAACCUUGAAAUACCACCCUUUAAUGUUUGAUGUUCUAACGUUGGCCCCUUACCGGGGUUGCGGACAGUGUCUGGUGGGUAGUUUGACUGGGGCGGUCUCCUCCCAAAGCGUAACGGAGGAGCACGAAGGUUAGCUAAUCCUGGUCGGACAUCAGGAGGUUAGUGCAAUGGCAUAAGCUAGCUUGACUGCGAGCGUGACGGCGCGAGCAGGUGCGAAAGCAGGUCAUAGUGAUCCGGUGGUUCUGAAUGGAAGGGCCAUCGCUCAACGGAUAAAAGGUACUCCGGGGAUAACAGGCUGAUACCGCCCAAGAGUUCAUAUCGACGGCGGUGUUUGGCACCUCGAUGUCGGCUCAUCACAUCCUGGGGCUGAAGUAGGUCCCAAGGGUAUGGCUGUUCGCCAUUUAAAGUGGUACGCGAGCUGGGUUUAGAACGUCGUGAGACAGUUCGGUCCCUAUCUGCCGUGGGCGCUGGAGAAUUGAGGGGGGCUGCUCCUAGUACGAGAGGACCGGAGUGGACGCAUCACUGGUGUUCGGGUUGUCAUGCCAAUGGCACUGCCCGGUAGCUAAAUGCGGAAGAGAUAAGUGCUGAAAGCAUCUAAGCACGAAACUUGCCCCGAGAUGAGUUCUCCCUGAGACUUUAAGUCUCCUGAAGGAACGUUAAAGACGAUGACGUUGAUAGGCCGGGUGUGUAAGCGCAGCGAUGCGUUGAGCUAACCGGUACUAAUGAACCGUGAGGCUUAACCUUACAACGCCGAAG